CCCACCUUGUUUGUAGCUUCUGAAAGAGUCCUUGACACACAAUUUCCAAAGUUGGAUGGCUUUUGUCAAGGAGUAACAGGAAGUGUAUGACCCUUUUGAUUUUCUCGGGCCUUUCAACCAUCAACCAUUUGGUAUUCUCCUAAAAAGGCUAACUGGAUUGGAGUUGGAGGUACAGUGCAGUGAUUCCAUUCCUACUUGGACAGCUGAUUUCAGAAGGCGGUGCAACAACAGGGGUUGUUGCUCUGUGCCUGGCCAGCUAUGCAAUGGGGUUCCAUGGUGCUAUUUUAAAAGUGAAAAGCUGCAUGGAACUGCUGGGUGAGCUUACCUGGACAUGUGAGUUGAAGCAUCAUCUCUAUGCAGACUGCAUCCAGCUCUCUCUCCCCUUUUCAUCAAAUCUGGAUGAUGCAGUGCUUGGGCAGAGUAAUGUGAUGGACAAGGGCCAAAAAAGUGAGCCUGUGUGUACAAGGAGGGGGUACUGCCAAUGGGUGGUUACCUGUCCAGUUUUCUUCUAGGUUACCUGGAUGAUCAUUCUGCCUGGACCCUAAAAUAUUUGUCAGUGGUCCUUUUCCUGGAGCUCAAACAAGGCUAGUCAGAAUCUCAAAUUUGAACCUUCAUCCAGGCAUGAAACCCUUAUAACAGCUUAGAAAUUACAGAAAUGCCCCUGAGGUGGUCUGCCGUAGCCCCUCCACUUUCCGUGUUGCUGCAAAUAGAGCUGAUAACCACUAGAGGGGAGGAGACAGCUGGCUUUGCUGAGCUCCUCACGGUAGAGCGUGAAGGGGAAGAAACUGUCACAGCACUGGUUGCCCAAGGAAAAGGUUUAAAAUAUGGUAUGAAGGACUUGUAAUAUAUCUUAAACUAUAAUUGUGAGGUCAUGUGUUAGGCUGCUGUGGCAUCCAGAAGAAGAAAGCACAGUGCCAACAUUCUACUGCAUGGAAAAGACGGAGUCGAAGAAAAGUACCACUGGCAUUCCACUGCGCAUGAUCCAACCCAUAGCAAGCCCCAGAAGAAAAACAGCCCUGGUUGGAUGAAAGGGAUGAAGAAGAGCCAUUAUCUGAGGAAAUGAAGACAUUGCCUUGACCCAUCUCACUGACAACUGAGCUUUUGCUGUUGCUGCUGCCACUGCCAUCGGGAGGAGAAUUUCAGUAUAGUUCGGAACUGGCAGGUGAACGGCAGCAAGCAGAAUGGCUCCACAGGAAGGGCUACUGAGUUGACGAGUACACGUGAUGGGGAAUUUCACUCAGAUCCUUUUUGGAUAAGAACUUGCCAACAUUUACAAAAACAUCAUAGGCAAAAUGGAAGCAGCCUGAGAAGAAAAACAGCAAUUGUGGAAUAAAGUAAAACUUGAAGUUUCUUUAAAAGAAAAACCUGAACAUGAGAGAAAGGAAAACUUAUUGAGUUAUUUAUCUCUAUUCCUAACCAGUCCCUGACACAAGGGACAGUUUUUCUGUGUCUCUCAACUGAUAACCUAGAGUUAUUCCUAAAAUUCUUUUGAGCCUUCUGGGAUUCUAAGAAAAAGAGACAAUUUGUUUGGGGGCCUGAUCCAGGAAAGCAAACCAAACUGUUGUAUAUUCAGGGUAGGGUCGCUUGCAGAAUUCAGUUUUCUUAAAAUCCUGUUGAAAACGGCCUGCUCCACACAUCUCAGUCUAACGUGUGGCUCAUAACUUAACCAUCCACCUGAUUUCACACCCAGCUGUCAAGCAGAGCUUGACAGUUCAAAUAUAUCAAAAUGUACGUUCCAAAUAUACAUUUUAAGGCAUUGUUUUAAAAUCACAUACAUAAGAGGAUUACAAGUAAAAACACAGGAAGUGACAUUUUGCUAAUAUAUGUCUCCCCACACUUGAUUGAUUUUUAAUUGAUGGAAGCCUGAUGUAUCUCGUGUUUCCUUCACUGAAAUCAUGUUUCAUUCUUUUUAUAUUCACAUUUGUCCAUGGAGGUUUUCUCUUCCCACCACCUUUUAAAUAGUACCUUAUGCAAUGACAGCAUUAGAAUGGACCUUGGUGUGUUUUUUUCCUUAGCAGAAUGUGCUUCUAAUUAUGCAAUUUAGUGUCUCCAGGUUUUGCCAUUUCCCACAAUCCUCUCUCUGACUCCCAAAAGUUGUUGUAAUAUCUGGAACAGAAUAGAACACGAUAUCAUAGAAGGUAGAAGCCUUUUCACCUAAGACACUAGAUCUAUCAGAUGCUUCUCCUCUUUUCCUUCCUAUAUGAAAUCUAUACUUUUGAUUUAUUUAUUAGAUACAUUCUUACAAAAACAUAUUUUUGUAAACCAUUUGUAAACAAAUAUUACUACUAAAUUACUAAUGUGGUUUUAAUAUAAGGAUUUAUUAAUACAUGCUAAGCACUCAUUACAGAUUUUCAUGGAAAAAAUGAUAAAACAUUAUGUAUGAAAUGAAUCAUUAGCAUGGACCAUUAAGUCCUCUAUUUUCAUUUAAUUGAAUUUGUCAGUAGUACCCUCUUUAACUGAAAGCCAGUCAUAACCACAAAAUUAAAUAAUAAUUAAAGAAACAUGUAUUCAAAGAGUUUUUUCGUAGCUAAGGUGCCAUUUAACUGAAACAUAGCAAUUUAAUGUAAAUUGCCACCCAGGUUGGUACCUUGUAGAAAAUUAUACAUCCUGGGGUUCAUAUAUGUUUGCUUUAUGCAAAGAUUUUCACAGAUGCCAGCAGGGAUGGGCGAGUAAUCCUCAGGGGAUUCAAAUGACUUUGGAUUUCUACAAAUCCAAACUGCAAAUUCUGCAGUCCUCUGAGUUAUAUGGAUUCCUCAGACUUGCAGUCAGAACCCCCCACCCCUUUCUGCUAUUUCUCUCUCCCACACUUACUUGCUUGAUGGCUUUAGUGGCCGUGGAGGCAGCAGAAGGCCACAGGAAACUUCCUCCAAGGAUGUUUCCCGUGUGCCUAGUUGAGGUAGCCUUGGGAAAUGUAAUUUUACUAAGGGGUUCUGACAUCAGCCUGAAUAGGAGUACAAGGAACGUGAGCUCCUGCUGCCACCAUGACCACAAGAUCCAGCAGUCAGGUGGGGAAAGCUUUAGAGAGAAGAGCUUUGUGUGUGAAAAGCAAGAAGAUUAUGGAGAUGAGAAGGAAGAAGAAGGCUUGAGGGAGGUGGAGGAGAAAAGUCAUAGGAAACUGCCUGGGCAUCCCAUGUGACAUAGCUAGGGGAACAGUGGGUGUGAUUUGGAUCAUAACUGACUUGGAAUUAACUGAGCUAUUUUCUGAGUUAGUGGGCAAAUAGAUGAGUUUCUCAAUCUCUAUUACUAGCCUAUUCAUGGGAGACACGGUGGGAAGCCCAUUUCAAAAUAAAACAUUAAUUUGAAAUAUGGUCUCAUCCUGGGCAGACGUGUACUAUUGGCAAUGUUGUCUACAUGUUCCUUCCCAUUUCCCAUAAAAAACAAGAAUUGUGCAGGUACAGUUCUUGUUUUUUAUCUGUUUCAGGCAUUAUCUUCCAUAUUUCUCCCAAGAAUUAUCCUGUCUGUUUCUUAUACCAGAUACUUUCCCCUCCAGUCUAGAGAAACUGCCAAUCUUCGAUCUGUGUGGACUGGGGGGGCACUUUGGGUGCUUUUAUCCACUUGAAUAUAUGUAAUACAAUCAGGGAAGGGAAGGGAAGGGAAGAGGAAGGGGAGACAGAAAAAGAGAAGCCAAACAGAAGGAAUAGAUCCUCUUUAUCUUUCUACUAUUUUUUUCCAUAAAUCCACUGCUAGUUCUUUAAAAUAAGUCAGUCUGGAAGCACUUGCUUCACUAUUCCAGAACUUGUGGCAAUGUAUUUACCCAAAUUAAAAUCAAAUGUUUAGUAGAUAUUUCCACAAUGGCAUUGAAGAUGUGAGGUUUUCUAGCAAUGCUAAAGUAAUUGUUUUUGAAUAUAUUUGCACAUAGUCUCCACAUAUUAUCAAACUGUACUCUUAUGAUGUCAUAAUGGGUCAUCAUCAGAAACAGAUGCAUUGUGCUGAUUCUGGCCAUUAGUCACUUCCAAAAGUAGCAUAAACUCUGAUUGUCGUCCACACAUAGGAGGUGUCCCCAAGUGCUCAAUCACUGUGGAGUAGGAGAAGAAUCACGUAUUGUGUGAUGCCAAUAUUGUACCAGCAGCACCAGCUGCCAGCAUGUUCAAGGCCCAAUUUAAGUGCUGGUACUGGUCUUUACAUUCUUAAACAGGGACUGCCUUCAAGCUGCUCAGCUAUGAGCUCAAUAUUAGAACUUCUGCUUCUGCCACAGCUGUUGUGCUGGUGGAUAUGAGGUGUGGGGCCUUUCCAUGAGGGACACCCUCUUCCAGUCUGUGGAACUAGGUUCCAGUAGAUGCCCGCUUCAGCAUUGCAGCCCCAAAGACUUACUGAUUCCCCUGAUGUAUAACUGAGUCACUUGAUUUUGAUUGCAAUAUUUUUUUAUCAUUAUUCCACUCUUAUUUUAUUGUAUCUGGUGUUUUAAAUCUUUGAAUGCUUCCUUGAGAGAAUUUCCUGAAGAUAACUUACACAUUUUAAACAAACUUAAUGUACACAGAUAUGAAAUGGGACUGGUCACCCAUAGCUUUAAACAAUGCUUUCUUUCUUAUUGGGUGCGGCCCUGAGCACUCCCACCCUGAACUUACUAGGGCUCAGGGAGAAAUCCAUUUGGUUCACUUCCCAGUGUGAACUUACCAGAUUGGCACUACCUAAACCUAAAUGUGGACCAGAAUACCAUUCUUGAAGAAGUCCAUGAAUUUCCAAUGUUCUCAAUGCAUUUGCCCCAACCCCAAGUCAUAAAAACUGCAUGCAUUGAAACAGUGCACACGAAAAAUGCAUGUUGUUCAAACGUCCAUGCAGAAAUGAGCAUAUAUGAACAUAUAUACAGAAAAAUAUUAAAUUCUUAGAAAUGCAUACAAACUGUCAAUUUUUUAAAAAAUGCACAAGCAGACAUACACGUUGCACAGAAUAAAUAAAAAGGAACAAUUUGAUGCAGAAUUCAAACACAAAGAACUUCACAUUAGAAUCCAGCUCAACAUCCUGACAGUUCCAACUUAAUAGCUCUUCUCAAGGUCCUUAGCCUUGAUUAUCUACUUAUCACAGGAGCUUUUUCCUGCAAAAGAGUCCAGUUCUUUUGUUUCUUUGCCCCUAGAGAAUGCCUGCGCAGCUCGUCAAGAACCGAACUGAAUGCUGACCACAAGGCAUAAAUGAUGGUGUACCUGGAACUUCAUAACACCUCUUUUCUUGUUAUUUUAUUUCCUUGAAGGGAACGACAAAGGGAGAGAGGAUGAACAGUACUGAACUCUUGCUGACGUGAUAUACAUACCAAGGGACCAUGUUCUGCAUUGGUGAAUCAUCAAGUGGAUAAUGAAGCCUUGCAUAGGCCUUUCCAUUACGCUUCUAGUCUGAUGAACAGAAGGCCUUCCUGGUCGAUCCAGAUGCAAGAGUGAAGCAUGCUUGGGGAGGGUUGCCAGCUUUUUCUUUUUUACAGGCUCUGCUUCCUGUUUUUUAACAAGCAGAGAUUCAGCAAGUAAAGCUUUUGCUGGCAUGGAAGCGGGUGGUAGAAGAUUAGGCCGCCGUUCCAAGGCUAGUUGAAGGGCCAAUUCUAAAAAAAUGUUUAAAGCUAGUUCAUUGAUUUCACUGGGGUUAAGCAGGUUUAAAUUCUAUGUUGGAUGGUUGGUGGCAAUUGAUUGCAUGGAACUUAAAUGCACCAUUUCUGCAAUGCCUGUUAUCCCAGGAAUCCCAAGCUGUGUUUGUCAAUAGGACAGCUCUGUUGAUAGCAGGGGUUUCCCUCUGCCCCCAGAGCAUUUGGCUCUUAACAGGAAGCAGCUCUCCCGCCAUCCUCCGGAAAUGUGCAAAAUGACUUAAAAAUAGAACUGCCCUUGUUACUGUGGACAGAAACUGGGAAUGAAGGCGUAAGGUGAAGAAAGACCCCGUCACCAUUCUCAAGAUUCCUGGGUUCAAAAUUGCAAUUGACUGCUCCGAAAAAUGGAACAGUUAUAAGCUGGAAAAGUUGCAUGCCAAAUAAAAUAUAGGUACGAGGAUUUAUAGCAAAAGCUUAAGGAAGGGGCCUUGGAGUCUCCUGUUUCUUAAUGCCACAUGUGUACUUGAUUCACCGUAUUUAUUUUUUUGCUGCUGCAGCCUGAACAGAAGUACCCAGGCACUCUGUGAUCUGUAUUCUUUGGAUUCCAGUUGGCUUAGAGAAAGAGAAAAUGACCAAUAGCCAUGCAUUCUGGCUAAGAAAAGGAGGAUUAUUUUGGCCCUUUCAAUAUUUCUUAUCUUGUUCAAUGUUCUACCACAUGCAGAGUCUUCUACUUAAAGGUGAUGUUUGUACUCACCUUAGAUGACAAAGAAUGAAAAGAUAAGACCUGAGUAUCCCACUGAGAUUAAAAUCCUUAUGACUUGCCCAUGCUAAGCUCUAAAAGUAGAAGCCUUUAUUCAGGCCUUCAGUACUGUCAUGGUUGGGAAUUUUGCGUGUCUUAAAAUAUGGAUCAUAUCCUCUUAAUGGUUCAUUUUUAUUGCCUUUCCUUCUGUAUUCAUACUUUUAAUUGUCCAGUUUAAAAAGUGUAGUUCAGACUGAAAAGGCUGCUUUAUAGCUUAUCUGAAUGUCAAAAUUCUUUCCACUGGGAGCUGUCCUUUAAACUGAAUGCAGAACUAUUUGGUCAUAGAGUCGGUAUUUAUUUAACAUGCAGAGUAAAGUGUCCUCUCUCUGAAUGGGUUGGGGAAUAUUAAAAAUGUUCAGAUAAUUAGAAGUUCAGAUGAAUGACAUUGCUAUAGAGGUACAUGAAGGGCACAGCAAAUUAGGAGAUUAGUUUUCUUCUGUGCCAGUCACUUAUUACUGUUAUUUUGUAAUGAAGAACUUUUCAUGAAAUCAAAUAGUUAAGGCAAAUCAUGCUAUAGCUUGAUCAUUAUGAAACUGUAUGAAUGUGAUUAGUAAAUCAAAAAGCAGUGUUGCCACUUCUUUCCGAUGGGUGUCCAAUGCCUUAAACCAAUCCAAGGUGCUAAAAAUCCAAGAGGUAGAGCUUUUGUCCAUUACUUCAUUUCCUCUCAAGAAAAGCUUUACCUGUACCAUCUUAGACACUACAUAAAAGUGUGACUAACAUAACAGAAACAUGGAUAUGGAAGAAUUUCAUCUGGUUCCUAUAGAGAAUUUCUCAUGUUUAAACAAGUAUUCAGACUAAAAUCAGUUUUGUUUUGAAAUCCACACUUUUCCAAAUUUUGUAAUGGAGUUAUCCAAUAAAAUAAUGCAUAGAAACACAUAUAUUAUAUAAAA